AUUGAACGCUGGCGGCAGGCCUAACACAUGCAAGUCGAACGAGUGGCGGACGGGUGAGUAAUGUAUGGGGAACUGCCCGAUGGAGGGGGAUAACUACUGGAAACGGUAGCUAAUACCGCAUACCAUCGGAUGUGCCCAUAUGGGAUUAGCUAGUAGGUGGGGUAACGGCUCACCUAGGCGACGAUCCCUAGCUGGUCUGAGAGGAUGAUCAGCCACACUGGGACUGAGACACGGCCCAGACUCCUACGGGAGGCAGCAGUGGGGAAUAUUGCACAAUGGGCGCAAGCCUGAUGCAGCCAUGCCGCGUGUAUGAAGAAGGCCUUAGGGUUGUAAAGUACUUUCAGUGGGGAGGCGUUACUCGCAGAAGAAGCACCGGCUAACUCCGUGCCAGCAGCCGCGGUAAUAC
rnacentral:rRNA from 1 species